CACUGAAAAAAAUAUCGGCACCCUCCCGGGUAAUAUGGUUAUACCAGCAAAAAGUUCCCAUACAUUAGUGGGACUUUUAACGUCAAGCGAUAUUGAAAUCACCUGAAACGGCUAAAUUUUUACUACAGCUGCCAAAAUCAAAAAUUUUUCUGCUUGUGAAACACAUAACCCCAGUCGACAAAGUAAUUUUGAUUUCCCUGGUAUAUUAAAAGGACUCUGAACGUCAAAAAAUGUCGAUUUGGUUUUACCGGUAAUAAAAUUAUCCUUUCUGGGUUAACUAUUUAACCUCAUGGGGAUAUUAUGCAUUUAGGGUAUAAUAUUAUGCUUCCUGGGUAAAGUAUUUGACUCAAAAUGAAAAAUAUGUAUGGUUCUCUCUUUCACACAAAACAAAUAACAGUUGUCUCUUUCAUUUUUUCACGGUCAUGCGAUGCGUCAUUUUUAUGAGGCGUCAGUUCUAAUUUGACAUGUAAAUUGUGCAGAGUGAAUUUCGUGAAGUGAACUUUUUAAAGAAUUUUCUCGGGAAAUUGUAAUUCUUAGACUUUUAUAAGAAGUUCGAAGGUAAGUUAAUAUACCAUUAUACAACCUUCUGGUAAAAAUUCCAUGGAAUCCACGCGAAAUCAACAAAAAAAACUUAUGACAUUUUUCUCUUUCUAUUCUUUCUAGAGAACUGUACUAUUUCCAGGAAUGUUUUCAGUGGAUUAUCUACGAUGGAUUAAAAGCAAUGAUCGAAGAAAUCAUUUACGAAGACUUAUUCUCAACGAAGUUGCGAGCUUUGAAAGAGUCAAAGAUUUCAUUCUGGAGAUGGUCACAUAACCUUAAGACGUCAAACUACUUUAUUUGCUUCUUUUUCUUGACCUGCAAGCCUGGCCAAUCCCUGCUACCAAUCGUUCUUGCCUAAAAGUGUUCACAUCUGACUUUAAACUUUUCGUACAAAUACCGAAGGAACCAAGAGAAAACGUAAUUUGUGACCAAAUCAGGAAUUGGUUUAUGCACUCAUCAUUUAUUAAAAGGAAGUAACCAAACACUUCUCGAAAUGAGACAAAUAACCCAUUUUGGAAUUCGUCAGCACAAAAGAGUUGAACUUUUUGGGAUUCUACGUUGCAAUGACGAGGCCGUUGCCAAAAACAAAGCGUGUUGGUCCGGUGAGUCCGGUGAUUAACGUGUAGAGAAUUAGAUUUGAAGGGAAACAUCGAGUUGUAACAAAUACGACUGUAAGUUGUUAUGCCCGUCUUAAUAUUUGCUAAACUAUUACAAAAUCGUUAUUUAAUUUAAAAUUCGCAUUCGAAACAAAAACCUUUUGAAAAGGAAAUGAAAAUAAAUACGGACCUUUUACAAAA